rnacentral:rRNA from 1 species
UACGGGGGGGGCAAGCGUUGUUCGGAAUUACUGGGCGUAAAGGGCUCGUAGGUGGCCAACUAAGUCAGACGUGAAAUCCCUCGGCUUAACCGGGGAACUGCGUCUGAUACUGGAUGGCUUGAGUUCGGGAGAGGGAUGCGGAAUUCCCGGUGUAGCGGUGAAAUGCGCAGAUAUCGGGAGGAACACCAAUGGCGAAGGCAGCUCGCUGGGACGGUACUGACGCUGAGACGCGAAAGCGUGGGGAGCAAACAGG